rnacentral:rRNA from 1 species
GAUGAACGCUGGCGGUAUGCUUAACACAUGCCAGUCGAACGGACUCUUCGGAGUUAGUGGCGGACGGGUGAGUAACGCGUGAGAAUCUGGCUUUGGGUUCGGGACAACCACUGGAAACGGUGGCUAAUACCGGAUGUGCCGAGAGGUAAAAGAGAAAUUGCCUGAAGAUGAGCUCGCGUCUGAUUAGCUAGUUGGUGAGGUAAAGGCUCACCAAGGCAGCGAUCAGUAGCUGGUCUGAGAGGAUGACCAGCCACACUGGGACUGAGACACGGCCCAGACUCCUACGGGAGGCAGCAGUGGGGAAUUUUCCGCAAUGGGCGAAAGCCUGACGGAGCAAUACCGCGUGAGGGAAGAAGGCUCUUGGGUUGUAAACCUCUUUUCUUAGGGAAGAACAAGAUGACGGUACCUAAGGAAUCAGCAUCGGCUAACUCCGUG